rnacentral:hammerhead_ribozyme from 1 species
AUCCAUCUGAUGAGUCCCAAAUAGGACGAAGCGCGCGUCCUGGAU